rnacentral:rRNA from 1 species
AACGAACGCUGGCGGCAGGCCUAACACAUGCAAGUCGAACGCAUCCUUCGGGGUGAGUGGCGCACGGGUGAGUAACACGUGGGAAUGUAUCCUUUGGUUCGGAAUAACGUUUGGAAACGGACGCUAAUACCGGAUGAGCCCUAUGGGGGAAAGAUUUAUCGCCGAAGGAGCAGCCCGCGUCUGAUUAGGUAGUUGGUGGGGUAAAGGCCUACCAAGCCGACGAUCAGUAGCUGGUCUGAGAGGAUGAUCAGCCACACUGGGACUGAGACACGGCCCAGACUCCUACGGGAGGCAGCAGUGGGGAAUAUUGGACAAUGGGCGCAAGCCUGAUCCAGCCAUGCCGCGUGAGUGAUGAAGGCCUUCGGGUUGUAAGGCUCUUUCGCACACGACGAUGAUGACGGUAGUGUGAGAAGAAGCCCCGGCUAACUUCGUGCCAGCAGCCGCCGUAACAC